rnacentral:tRNA from 1 species
GUGGUUGUGGCUCAGAGGUAUAGCGCUCACCUAGCAUGUGUGAGGCACUGGGUUUGAUCCUCAGCAUCACA